UGUAUUCCUUUUGUAUUUGUAACAAAUAACACCCAUAUCAAAAUAGCGUCAUAAUGUCUUCCUUAUCUUCCCGGGAGCUCUGCAGCAAAAAGCUAAGAAGACCAUGCACAUGAGGUGAGUGACUCAUACAAGAUGGGAAGCUGGCUAACUGGUUAGCCCUGAAUUGAACAAAGUUAACACCCAAGAGAAAGUUUCCAAACUUUGACUAAGCCAAAACAGGUGUUGUUCCCAAGAACACUUUACUAAAAAAUAUCCUGCAUACAAAUCGUCAUCAUCAUCCACCAGUCAAAACACCUGUUAAAUUCUUUUGUGUCUAUGACAAGAUAUACAAGAUACUGGAUCACUGCAACAUCAGUGACUCUCAAAGUUUCUGCUGAAAACUUCAAAGAGGCUGAGAAGACAUGUGAACUGUCAUGAUCUUAAGAGUGCAGUCAGUGUUUUCAAUCAGGCUCCUUCAAAAACUGGUUGAAAGUGUUUGGUAGAUUGAUUCAGAAAGGAGUCUAAGGUUGCAUACUUCAGAAGAUCCUGAAUGUGCUUGCCACAAAUUCACAUACAAAAAGGUGUGUCCUUUUUUCCAAUUCAAAAAGGGUGAACAAAAUAAAUAAACUUUAAAAAAAUCCAAAGGGAUAGCAUAAAACAUUAAUUCAACAGUGACAAACUUCAGCUCUUUAAUUCUAAACAUUCUGGUUAGAAAUGAAAGGAUUUCAGAAUAUAAGAAAAAUGUCCUAUGUAGCUAGAGACAAAGGUAUGGUAAUAGCCAAGCCAUGAAAAUUUGCAAUACAGUGCUUCAAUUUAAUAGUACUUCUUCUUCUUCUU